AUCCGUCGACUUUAGAAAUCGUGAGGGUUCAAGUCCCUCUAUCCCCA
rnacentral:tRNA from 2 species